rnacentral:SRP_RNA from 1 species
CUGCGCUAGGUGGAGAGCUAGCGGUGCUCUGUACCUGCAAUCCGCUAUAGCAGGACCGAAUGCCCGCCUCGGCGGUCUUGUGGAAAGUCUGGCUUUGAUAAGGAAUGUUGAUAUUAAGGUCCCAUCCAAUAUAAAUCUGUGAACCAUGUCAGGACCGAAGGGGAGCAGCAUUAAGCAGACACUUAUAUGUGCCAUGGGGAAGCUUUGAAGGAGUCACCUGUUAAAGUUCCGUUUCGGCAAGACUGGUCAACGCGGGAUGCGCAG